rnacentral:rRNA from 1 species
UACGUAGGGGGCAAGCGUUGUCCGGAUUUAUUGGGCGUAAAGAGCUCGUAGGCGGUUUGGUAAGUCUGGUGUGAAAUCUCCACGCUCAACGUGGAGGGGCCACCCGAUACUGCCAUGACUGGAGUCCGGUAGAGGAGUGUGGAAUUCCCGGUGUAGCGGUGAAAUGCGCAGAUAUCGGGAGGAACACCCGUAGCGAAGGCGGCACUCUGGGCCGGUACUGACGCUAAGGAGCGAAAGCGUGGGGAGCAAACAGG